rnacentral:rRNA from 1 species
UACGUAGGGGGCGAGCGUUGUCCGGAUUUAUUGGGCGUAAAGAGCGUGUAGGCGGCCAGGUAGGUCUGCUGUGAAAACUCGAGGCUCAACCUCGAGACGUCGGCGGAAACCAUCUGGCUAGAGUCCGGAAGAGGAGAGUGGAAUUCCUGGUGUAGCGGUGAAAUGCGCAGAUAUCGGGAAGAACACCCGUGGCUAAGGCGGCUCUCUAGUACGGUACUGACGCUGAGACGCGAAAGCGUGGGGAGCGAACAGG